UACGUAGGGACCAAGCGUUGUUCGGAUUUACUGGGCGUAAAGGGCGCGUAGGCGGCAAUUCAAGUCAGUUGUGAAAUCUCCGAGCUUAACUCGGAACGGUCAACUGAUACUGUUUUGCUAGAGUGCAGAAAGGGCAACCGGGAAUUCUUGGUGUAGCGGUGAAAUGCGUAGAUAUCAAGAGGAACACCUGAGGCGAAGGCGGGAUUGCUAGGCUGACACUGACGCUGAGCGCGAAAGCUAGGGUAGCAAACGGG
rnacentral:rRNA from 1 species